AUUGAACGCUGGCGGCAGGCCUAACACAUGCAAGUCGAACGAGUGGCGGACGGGUGAGUAAUGUCUGAGAAACUGCCUGAUGGAGGGGGAAAACCAAUGGAAAAGGUAGCUAAUAACGCAAACCAUCAGAUGUGCCCAGAUGGGAGUAGCUAGUUGGUGGGGUAACGGCUCACCAAGGCGACGAUCCCUAGCCGGUCGGAGAGGCUGACCAGCCACACGGGAACUGAGACAGGGUCCAGACUCCUACGGGAGGCAGCAGUGGGGAACUUUGCACAAGGGGCGAAAGCCUGAGGGAGCAAUGCGGCGUGGAUGUAGAGGGCCUUCGGGUGGUAAACUCCUUUCAGCGGGGAGGCGUUACCCGCAUAGGAAGCACCGGCUAACUCCGUGCCAGCAGCCGCGGUAAUAC
rnacentral:rRNA from 1 species